UACGGGGGGGGCAAGCGUUGUUCGGAAUUACUGGGCGUAAAGGGCUCGUAGGCGGCCAACUAAGUCAUACGUGAAAUCCCUCGGCUUAACCGGGGAACUGCGUCUGAUACUGGAUGGCUUGAGUUUGGGAGAGGGAUGCGGAAUUCCAGGUGUAGCGGUGAAAUGCGUAGAUAUCUGGAGGAACACCGGUGGCGAAGGCGGCAUCCUGGACCAACACUGACGCUGAGGAGCGAAAGCCAGGGGAGCAAACGGG
rnacentral:rRNA from 1 species